UCGGUCAACAAAACCACUGAGAUUCAGCAUGAAGGUUCGAGACACGUGGCGGAGGGUGGAAACUCAACGAAUUAGAGAAAGGGUUUGAAUUGAUUGAUCGAGGAAUACUAAAGAUUCCAAUGGUGAAAUCCCUGCGAUAACUUCUCAGCUAUUUCGAUCUGCACUUUUCAUCCAUUAAACUUGUUCUUUGAAAAGAUUGCGCUCGGAGUUGCGGACGCUGCUCGGCUGAAGAAAUUUUCAGUUUGAGUUUGGUGCAUUUGAUAGUGAAGAGAGGCUCUACUACAUGAUUAAAGUUUUUAAGAUUAAAACUUAUAAAGGGAAGGAUGAGCAAUAACACCGAACAUGAGAAGACUUCAUCUGGUACAAGUAACAAGAAGCAAUUGAAGGAGUUAUUACAUAAAAGUGAUAAUCGGAUUUGUGCUGAUUGCAGUGCACCAGAUCCUAAGUGGGCGUCAGUUAAUAUCGGUGUAUUUGUAUGUGUACAAUGCUGUGGUGUACAUAGAAGCCUUGGUACCCAUAUCUCAAAGGUUUUAUCAGUGACCCUGGAUGAAUGGUCGGACGAAGAAAUUCAAUCUGUGAUUGAAGUUGGCGGGAACUCUUAUGCAAAUUCAAUAUAUGAAGCGUUCCUUCCUCAGAAUUUUUUAAAACCUACUACAGAUUCAAGCUAUGAGGAGAGAGCUAAGUUCAUCAGGUCCAAGUACGAGUUUCAAGAUUUUUUGAAACCAAGCCUGCGUAUUGUUUCUUCAAAGAGCUCUUCCUCGUCAAAGUGCUCUUUGAGGUCAGGGGACUCUGUAAAGGAAAGCAAGAAUGGUUUGGACUCAAUAGUCUCCUCGGUAGGUAUGGUAGAUUUCAUAGGAAUUCUAACGGUCAAAGUGAUACAAGGCAGAAAUUUGGCUGUUAGGGAUAUGUUAAGUAGUGAUCCAUAUGUUGUUUUGUCCCUUGGAAAACAGAAAGCCAAAACCUCUGUUAUUAAGAGCAAUCUGAACCCUGUUUGGAACGAGGAGCUUAAACUUUCAGUUCCUCAACAUUAUGGUCCCCUUAAGCUGCAAGUAUUUGAUCAUGACCUGCUCUCUGCUGAUGAUAUAAUGGGAGAGGCCGAGAUUGACCUGCAACCAUUAAUCACAUCUGCAAUGGCAUUUGGAGAUCCCGACUCCCUAGCCGACAUGCAGAUCGGCAGGUGGCUGAGAUCACAGGACAAUGCCCUCCUCAAGGACAGUAUCGUCAGAAUUGUCAAUGGGAAAGUGAAGCAGGGGAUGUCUCUCAAACUCCAGCUUGUGGAAUCUGGGGAGAUUGACCUGGAACUGCAGUGGAUUGCUUUGAGUGAAUGAGCAGGCUUUGAAACAUUUCUGCAUUGGAUCAUUUGUCUUUUAUUGGAAUUUGUUUUAUUUAUCAGGACUGGUGAUAGAGCGUAGUCUACUUGUUUAGUAAGAAUGUUUUUGGUUAGUCUACGCUGUAUCACGUCCGUUCUCUGGAAACAAUAUUUUCUCCCAAUAAUGAGGCAAUAGGUGUCGCUGCAUUUGGGUUAUGGAAUGAAAGACUACUCAUUAUUAAACUUGAAUGAUAUUUAGGACGAAUCAUAUGAGAUGAUAGCUUUUAUUAUAAUUUUAUUUAA